AAUUUUUAGUUUAAUUUAGAAUAAUUCAUUUACAAUGAAUAGGUUAGGAAUUU
rnacentral:tRNA from 1 species